CGGACGGGUGAGUAAUGUCUGGGAAACUGCCUGAUGGAGGGGGGUAACUACUGGAAACGGUAGCUAAUACCGCAUAACGUCGCAAGACCAAAGAGGGGGACCUUAGGGCCUCUUGCCAUCGGAUGUGCCCAGAUGGGAUUGGCUAGUAGGUGGGGUAACGGCUCACCUAGGCGACGAUCCCUAGCUGGUCUGAGAGGAUGACCAGCCACACUGGAACUGAGACACGGUCCAG
rnacentral:rRNA from 1 species